UACAGAGGGUGCAAGCGUUAAUCGGAAUUACUGGGCGUAAAGCGCGCGUAGGUGGUUUGUUAAGUUGGAUGUGAAAGCCCCGGGCUCAACCUGGGAACUGCAUCCAAAACUGGCAAGCUAGAGUACGGUAGAGGGUGGUGGAAUUUCCUGUGUAGCGGUGAAAUGCGUAGAUAUAGGAAGGAACACCAGUGGCGAAGGCGACCACCUGGACUGAUACUGACACUGAGAUGCGAAAGCGUGGGGAGCAAACAGG
rnacentral:rRNA from 1 species